GUCUAGCCUGCUCACUGAUAGAUAAUAUUAAAUAGCCGCGGUAUCUUGACCGUGCAAAGGUAGCAUAAUCAUUAGUUUUUUAAUUGAAAACUGGUAUGAAUGGUUGGACAAAGAAGAAACUGUCUCUUUUAUCAAAGUUGAAUUUAACUUCUAAGUGAAAAGGCUUAGAUCUCCUAGAGGGACGAUAAGACCCUAUAAAGCUUUACAAGCUUAGAGAUUCUAUAUAUUUUUAAAUAAAAAUAAUUCCUCAAGAGCUUAUUGAGUUGGGGCGACAAUAGUAUAAUGAAAGUAACUGCUUUUAGAUAUAACAAAGAUAUUUGAGUCAUAGUUAAUUGAUCCUUAUUAAAGAUUUUAAGAUCAAGUUACUUUAGGGAUAACAGCGUUAUUUUUCCUGAGAGUCCUUAUCAAAGGAAGAGUUUGCGACCUCGAUGUUGAAUUAAAAUGUCUAUAUAGUGCAGCAGCUAUAAAAGAAGGUCUGUUCGACCUUUAAUAUUUUACAUGAUUUGAGUUCAGACCGGCGGGAGCCAGGUCGGUUUCUAUCUUCUAGAAAAAAGAAACGAUCGCUCUAGUACGAAAGGACCGAGCUAUUGAAAUUUUUUUAGCAAUUGAAAU
rnacentral:rRNA from 1 species